AGACAGUGAGGGGCAGCUGAGGCCCUAGACGGUGAGGAAGACCAGAAGCCCACUUGUCGACCUUGGAAAGACGCUGAGACCGCAGGACCUGAGACAAGGAGAUACAAGGCAUCUGUGUACCUUACGACUCCGGCAGCUCUGGCUAUAUCUAUAAUAGUGGCUGCAAUACUGACCUUCGAGACAAUCUACACAUCAAAUUAAGGGUCAAGGCUGAUGCCAGCUCUGAAGGGAAGCUGCUGCUUUCAGAACUGCCAUCCUUUGAGGAAAGUCUGCAUAAUGAAAAGGAGAUCAAACAGGUUCUACUGUCUACAGCAGUAUAUGAACUGUUGCUCGAAGUUUAAUGGCAAUGCCAUUUGCAUAAUCAAGGCCAACAGAAGUGCAGAGUGAUGGUUAAUAUCAGUCCCUGAGCCUUGUUCAAUGGCUGAAGACAUCCCUUCUUUCUGUAACUGGAGGAAUGAAACCCUAAUCUACUGACCAUUUUAUUGCUAGUUGAUUCAAACAUGGUCAACUAUAACUGAUGGAGCUGAACAGGAGGAACAACAUUAUACCAUGGGAGGAAGUACAGAAAGCUUCCAUGCCAGCUAUUCUGGACUGAAUCUGAUGCAUGGCAAGAUCCAGUAAUCUGCCCCACAUUAUAAAAUCAAGAUACAGAAGAAUUAGAUCCCAAGCCUCCUGACUGUUUAUCCUGCAUCAUGCUUCCUCCUGAAGGCUGCUUUACAGAGCUCAUUAAACCCAACCACUCUGAGAACUAAAGAUACUUGCCGGCAUCUCAGACUUUUACAUACACUAGGAAAACACAUGGCUUUUUCUGGACAGAAGAAAAAUUAACUGCAACUGUGUUUACAAGAUGUCACUGAUACAACUGUCAGCUAAAAACAUCUGCAUAAUCCCAUACAGUCAGUGUGGGGAAGCAACAGCUGUGAUUGGACAGUCCCAUGACUAUGAUCUCAUGAUUUACAAACAUAAUCUGCUAUCUAUAGAAAGUUCUUAAAGUGAUCAAAAUGUGAUUUUCAGUUAAAAAAAAUGAAACAAAAAAACCCACCUGCCUGGCAAGACUGAUAUCAGGAUUUUUCAGGCAAGAAAGCUACUGUUCUGUGAGAGGUCUGCUGUUAGGCAGAGUCCUUGCUUAACUGCGUUCACCGAAAGGCAAAGCAAGCAGGAAAUUUAGGCAGGGA